UCCUGGAAAAUCUAGGCCAGUGGCACUGGGGAUUGCAGGUGGCUGUUUAAUAUUUAUUAUGAGUCUUCAUUGGAAGUUGGUGAAUGUCUUUAAAUUUUGAUUACCCAGCUGUGGAUCUAUGUAGAUAUUUGCAGAACUUACCGUAGUAAAGCAAAUGCAGAGGCUCAAUUUCCCAGGUGCAGCAAGCUGUUCCAGCCCCACCCCGAAAGCCCUUCUACGAUCAACCAGGAGGCUUGAAUUUUAUGGUCUCUCUGUGGACUUCUAGGUCAGAAGAGUCAUGUUUCCUGUGCCAAGAGUCUCCAAGACUGUUUUCCACCAGACUGAGUAGUUUGUUGGGACUAGCUGGGCUCAUAUAACCAUGUGCACAGCCAAGGUUAAUUAUAGAGAAAGGACACAAAGUAAAACGAGCGAAAAGAAAAAAAAAAUCACAUUGGUUAGACACUCAUGGAAACCGGAAGCUUCCAAGAAGUCCCCCGGUUGUCUUCAUCCCCCCAGCAACAGAGGACAGUUUUUGUGAAGUGUUCCCUGGGAAUAUCUCAAAAGGCUCAGCACCGCGUGAUUUCUGUUGGGGAAUGCUCAUAUCGUCAGCCUCUGCCUGCUGCCUUAAAAUUCCAGACUCCUGGAAGACAGGUGUGUGUUCAGCUUAAACCAUUUUGUUUCACAGCUCAGGAAACCUCACACUGCCUUGCUUAUUCUGGAAAUGGUGGGAACCUACAAGUGUCUGGGUUUUCUGAUAUCAGUCCUGUGCCAGCCUUGCAGAGAGAAACUUUCUGACGCUAAUCAUCUUAGGCCUGUUAUGAAUAACCUUCUCAUACAGAACCAAGGUCCAGGUAUGAUUCUAUCUGCAAACUUACGGUUGUGCUGUCUUGAGUUUCCAAUUUAUCUUCACCUCUUAUUCACCAUUUUCAAAGAUUACAUGUUCUCUAUGGCUCUGUAGGAGGUGGCCUUGCUCUUCCUCUUUAACUGCAUCUCAUGCCUCUGAGCCUCUGUUGCUUUUCUUCACAAGGCAGCCACUAGGUCUGAUCAGUUCUAGGAUUCCAGUGUCUUACAGCUUCAAAGUCAUGUUGUUCCCUGUCCCUACUAAACAUCCUUCAUCCUUCACCCUGCAGCAUCCUCCUGAAAGAUGCCUUGUCCAUCUUAGAAGAAAGAAGGACUCACACAAUACUCUAGGAGUACUCUAUUCUUUCCCCUCUACAUUGGUGACAAUUUGUCUUUGAAUACUUAUAGAUACAUUUCAAUUUAGUAUUUGGUUUCAUAGCUGGGGAAUAAGUUUCUGGGUAAGGCAUGGACCAUGCCCACCCUGUCUGUAGCUGUGUUCCACGAUAAGGAAUGUAUGUAGUCCACCAGUAUUUGUUUAAGGGAAGAAUAAAUAAUUUACACUUUGAAUCUUUUGACAAGUCAGGCCUUGCCUUGUUCGGAUGCAUUUUCUGUUUUAGAUUAAAAAUGAAAGAUAUAAUUUGGAUAACUAUGUUAAGGACCAAAUGCAUAAGCUGGUGGCUCAUGCUUGAAUUUUGAAUUUUACUAUGAUAGGAAAGUAGACCUUUGUGGCAUGGACUUGCUCUCUAUCAUAAGAACUACAGGGAACCUGAAGGGUCAGGCAGGUCUUGUCUUGAAGUCUAUUACUACGACUUUAUGAAUUAUAUUGGACCAGCUAUCAAACUUUCAUGAUGUUCUUCUUUGUAAGCAAGCAUGCAAACACCCUUCUCAAGGAUUGGAAAGAUAAAGUUGAAAUCAAACAUGCAAAACACUGAGCAGAUGCCCAGUACACGCUUAUACCCAAUAAAUGAAAGUUGCUGUUUUGGCUCUGCCAGACUCAGGAAAGGCUUCAAGACCACCCUAAUUUUUGUUUGUUUGUUUUUUUUUUUCUUUUUUCCUUACUCAAUCAAGGACUCCUUAUUCUAACUUCAUAGUACAGUUCUAAUUGAAAACUGGUCAAGUGGAAAUCAACUCGGUGCUUGGGAUAAGCCAUCUCUUAGCCUUCAACCAUCCCAAACCUGCCCACUAUAACAUCUACCAUUAGAAUACUGUUCUAUUUCUUUGGACAACAGCAAAUGAGUCAGGACAGCUAUGAAGUCACACUUAGACCUCUCUCUUCCUAUUCCUUCUAGCUAAAUAUCACUUCCAACUAAUUGUCACAUUUACUACAGAUGAGGGAUUCCCCUGCCCCUGGUUUUCAGACUCCUGGGAAUCUUGGCUGCCUUCCUGUAUGUAUACUACAUUUUCACAGCAUGUUCAGGUGCUUCAAGAAUCAACACCAAUCCUGUAUAUUUGUGUAGUGUGUGGACAUAUAAGGAAAUAUAAGACAUUGGCUCUAAUGAGGACUGGGAGGUCCAUAAUUUAUAGAACCGGUUGGGAAAUCAGACAGGAGAUGGAAUUGAGGCAAACAUUUCUUCCUCUUAGGUAAGCUCAUUUUUUGCUUUGGGGUCCUUCUCUUUACUGGCUGAGACAUACUUACACUCUAGAGGAUAAAAUUUAAAGUCAACUGAUAUUGAAAUGAAUAAGAUCUACAAAAAUAUCUUCAUAACAGUGGCAAGUUUACUGUUCCAACUUAGCAUUACCAGUUACAUGUAAGAGCCUUAAACUACUGGAGUCAAAACUAAAUGUCUGCUGUGAGGGCAAUCCAGCACUGGGAGACAUUGCUCCUUUGAUCUGGACACUAGUUUAUUAUGGAGGUAACCUGAGGGUUUUAUUGACUAUAUAGAAAUAUCCAGGUCACCCCAACUUGUUCACACAAGCAAACAAGGGACCUGCUUGAGAAACUCUAGGCAAAGAUACCUGGAACCAAAAAAAACUCUAAGCUGAAGGGAGAGAUUUUAUAAGGAUGCUGAAAAACAGAAUCCAAGAAGGAAAUCCUUGUGUCUCUUUCUAAAAUCUGUCCACUAUGCAUGUCAACGGACCGACCUCUCUAAGCUCUGCAGCCACUUGAUUAUUCUGUGUGGUCAGCUCAACUCAUCUGUGCAGCUGUGUCACCUCUGUGGUUAGUAUGGCUUCCCAAUUCUGUUAAUAUCAAGAGAUUUUGAACAGCUGAAGACUC
rnacentral:lncRNA from 1 species